UACGUAGGGUGCGAGCGUUAAUCGGAAUUACUGGGCGUAAAGCGUGCGCAGGCGGUUUUGUAAGCCGGAUGUGAAAUCCCCGGGCUUAACCUGGGAAUGGCAUUCGGGACUGCAAGGCUGGAGUGCGGCAGAGGAGACUGGAAUUCCUGGUGUAGCAGUGAAAUGCGUAGAUAUCAGGAGGAACACCGAUGGCGAAGGCAGGUCUCUGGGCCGACACUGACGCUCAUGCACGAAAGCGUGGGGAGCAAACAGG
rnacentral:rRNA from 1 species